rnacentral:tRNA from 1 species
AUGCCGGUAGCUCAAUGGGCAGAGCAGUGGUCUCCAAAACCACAGGUUGGGGGAUCGUAGCCCUCCCGGCAUGCCA